GGCAGAUGAUUACAGUCUGAUUUAGCAUCUAAGAACAAAAAUAUGUUACUUUCUGUAAAGUCAGGUGUUUACUGGCUUUUCUGAUCUGUGAGAUAUGUAGUAGUUUGUAGGAGCAGCUUGUAGUUUAUCAUCUCAUGAUGCCUCUGGUGUCUAAAUUAAUAGCAAGGAAGCUGCAGCUGGGACCGAUGCAGGAGCAUGUCAGAACUGGAUGAUGGAGAGAUGGUAGAUAUGGAAUUCGCGAUAAAAAUUGUUCUGGCAUGGGAACCUUUUAAACUAUCAUAACUGUGAAUCCAAUGUGGAAAUUAUUUGCUGCUUUUUUGGAAUGUAAAUAAUUUCACCAAAGCCAGAGUCAUGAAUUAUCUUCCCAGUGUUAAGGAUAUACUUUAGUAGUCAAAUCUGAGACUUUCCAAUACAAAAGCUUUAAACAUCACUAGCAUCCACUGGACUUUGCUGAAUGAUCUCAUUGAA